CCAGCAGAAGUCAGUUGAAACAGGGGCUCUCAGGGAGUAACUGAUACUUUCAUUAUUUAUGGCUUGGUUUCCUGGGGCACUCCCAGCGGAAUUCACACACCCUGCCUGCUUUGAAAUGGGACAGGAAGAAGGCCAUGCACCUCCCUCUGGAGAGGUCAUGAGGAACACAGUGUGAUCAAGAAAAGCACCGGGUAGCUAGAAACCAGGCAUGAAACAACUUCAUCUGCCCAGGAUUGGCGUUCAAGACCACAGGGCCUGUCUGCGGCAUGGCUUGACAAUGCACCCCCAGCUUCCUUUUUCUGGAAACCCUCUCCCACUCAGCGGCUUCUCCUGCCCAGCUCAUGCACAAUGUGGCUGGAUUUUUCUGCCCACUGCUCCGCCUGCCAAGGAGGCAUCAGUCCGUAUUAUUUCCUUACGCUGUGAAUAAACUUCACCUUCUGUAGUGAC